GAUGAACGCUGGCGGCGUGCCUAAUACAUGCAAGUCGAGCGAACAGACGAGGAGCUUGCUCCUCUGACGUUAGCGGCGGACGGGUGAGUAACACGUGGAUAACCUACCUAUAAGACUGGGAUAACUUCGGGAAACCGGAGCUAAUACCGGAUAAUAUAUUGAACCGCAUGGUUCAAUAGUGAAAGACGGUUUUGCUGUCACUUAUAGAUGGAUCCGCGCCGCAUUAGCUAGUUGGUAAGGUAACGGCUUAGCAAGGCAACGAUGCGUAGCCGACCUGAGAGGGUGAUCGGCCACACUGGAACUGAGACACGGUCCAGACUCCUGCGGGAGGCAGCAGUAGGGAAUCUUCCGCAAUGGGCGAAAGCUUGACGGAGCAACGCCGCGUGAGUGAUGAAGGUCUUCGGAUCGGAAAACUCUGUUAUUAGGGAAGAACAAAUGUGUAAGUAACUAUGCACGUCUUGACGGUACCUAAUCAGAAAGCCACGGCUAACUACGUG
rnacentral:rRNA from 1 species